rnacentral:rRNA from 1 species
UACGUAGGGGGCAAGCGUUAUCCGGAUUUACUGGGUGUAAAGGGAGCGUAGAUGGAUGGACAAGUCUGAUGUGAAAGGCUGGGGCUCAACCCCGGGACUGCAUUGGAAACUGCCCGUCUUGAGUGCCGGAGAGGUAAGCGGAAUUCCUAGUGUAGCGGUGAAAUGCGUAGAUAUUAGGAGGAACACCAGUGGCGAAGGCGGCUUACUGGACGGUAACUGACGUUGAGGCUCGAAAGCGUGGGGAGCAAACAGG